UUGUUGAGAGGAAAAUGACUUCCAAUGAAAUCAGGGUGACAACGUCAUCAUAACCUGUGCACCAGCUGGCCAAGGAGAAGGCAAUGGUGAAAAGGAUUCUUCAGUGAUGAAAUACAUGAAAAUUAUCCAGGAGAAUGGCAUGAUUAUAAGCAGGCAAAUAGCUGAUGCAUCACCCAAACCUUGACUCAGGAUUUCUCCUCCGCCUUGUCUUUCAAGACUAUCUACAACAAGGGCCAUCCUGAGCCAACAUAUCUGUGUUGCUGCUUCUUCCUUCGUUAGUUGGGAGAAGAGUCACAAUAAAUAAAAUGGUUAAGACUCUAAUGAAGUAUAGUAAUGCUGAAAACUGGUGCUUCUCUACCUCAGACUUUGUGAAUAUUACUCUACCCAUUCUAAGGAGCAGCCUUCCUCCUUGUGACCGGAGACUCAUUAGAAUGCACAGAAGGCACAGAAAAAAACGUAGUAAGAG